rnacentral:rRNA from 1 species
AACAGGAUUAGAUACCCUGGUAGUCCAUACCGUAAACGAUGAAUGCUAAGUGUUGGAGGGUUUCCGCCCUUCAGUGCUGCAGCUAACGCAUUAAGCAUUCCGCCUGGGGAGUACGGCCGCAAGGCUGAAACUCAAAGGAAUUGACGGGGGCCCGCACAAGCGGUGGAGCAUGUGGUUUAAUUCGAAGCUACGCGAAGAACCUUACCAGGUCUUGACAUACUAUGCAAAUCUAAGAGAUUAGACGUUCCCUUCGGGGACAUGGAUACAGGUGGUGCAUGGUUGUCGUCAGCUCGUGUCGUGAGAUGUUGGGUUAAGUCCCGCAACGAGCGCAACCCUUAUUAUCAGUUGCCAGCAUUAAGUUGGGCACUCUGGUGAGACUGCCGGUGACAAACCGGAGGAAGGUGGGGAUGACGUCAAAUCAUCAUGCCCCUUAUGACCUGGGCUACACACGUGCUACAAUGGAUGGUACAACGAGUUGCGAACUCGCGAGAGUAAGCUAAUCUCUUAAAGCCAUUCUCAGUUCGGAUUGUAGGCUGCAACUCGCCUACAUGAAGUCGGAAUCGCUAGUAAUCGCGGAUCAGCAUGCCGCGGUGAAUACGUUCCCGGGCCUUGUACACACCGCCCGUCACACCAUGAGAGUUUGUAACACCCAAAGUCGGUGGGGUAACCUUUUAGGAACCAGCCGCCUAAGGUGGGACAGAUGAUUAGGGUGAAGUCGUAACAAGGUAACC